rnacentral:pre_miRNA from 1 species
UUCUUCCAAUGCAGAGCUCUGCUGGUGAGCGAAGUCCAUUCGGCGUUUGUGUCGGAGUUGAUCGGUAGGUAAGCAAGAAUGUUUGA